rfam:Danio rerio chromosome 4, GRCz11 reference primary assembly.
GCAUUGGUGGUUCAGUGGUAGAAUUCUUGCCUGCCACGCGGGAGACCUGGGUCCGAUUCCUGGCCGAUGCU